rnacentral:rRNA from 1 species
CCUACGGGAGGCAGCAGUGGGGAAUAUUGCACAAUGGGGGAAACCCUGAUGCAGCGACGCCGCGUGAGUGAAGAAGUAUUUCGGUAUGUAAAGCUCUAUCAGCAGGGAAGAAAAUGACGGUACCUGAUCAAGAAGCCCCGUCUAACUACGUGCCAGCAGCCGCGGUAAUACGUAGGGGGCAAGCGUUAUCCGGAUUUACUGGGUGUAAAGGGAGCGUAGACGGCAGCACAAGUCUGGAGUGAAAUGGCGGGGCUUAACCCCGGAACUGCUUUGGAAACUGUGCAGCUAGAGUGCAGGAGAGGUAAGUGGAAUUCGUAGUGUAGCGGUGAAAUGCGUAGAUAUUAGGAAGAACACCAGUGGCGAAGGCAGCUUACUGGACUGUAACUGACGUUGAGGCUCGAAAGCGUGGGGAGCAAACAGGAUUAGAUACCCUUGUAGUC